rnacentral:misc_RNA from 1 species
GGCAGAUUCAAUUAGCAUAGUGGGGAGCAUUGAGAAGCUCAAUAGCACCAACUAUAACUAUUGAUGCACUUGGUUUCUACCAAUUGCUUUUAUGUGAUUAGAGGGAUCUUAUUUUUCUUUUUUACUCAUUUGAUAUGGCCUCGGGUUUUUGGAUGUGCUAAGGUAAAUUUUGCAAAAGAAUUUUAUGUUGUUGUUAUUUGUUCUUUAGGUCCUCUUUUUUGGUUGGCCUUGUAUCUCUUGGU